rnacentral:rRNA from 16 species
NNNCGCACUAUGAUAAAUUCCGUUAACGAACGAGACCUCAGCCUGCUAACUAGCUAUGCGGAGCCAUCCCUCCGCAGCUAGCUUCUUAGAGGGACUAUCGCCGUUUAGGCGACGGAAGUUUGAGGCAA